GAAAAAAGAAAAAAGAGAAAGAAAUCACAGUUGUAACACCAGGAAUUUCUAUUCUUACAGCAGAAAUAGACAUUUGUAAUAAGCUUUGGCUCACAGUCAGGGUUGCCACUGCCACUGCAAAACAGGCAAAUUGAAUUGAAGCAGCUAAAAAAACCUCAGGUUUUGGUGAAGUUUGCAGGUUGGAUUACCGGCAGCUACUGCAGAGAGAAGUUUGGAUUGCAAAUAUGGCAUUUGUUGACCCUGGGCAUUGUUUAAUGCCCUGUAUAGACCAUCGUACAGACCAUGUCAGAAUUCCUAGUCUUUUACUUCUAAAUUUUAUUACAUCGUGUGAAAUUUAGAAAAAUAUAAGCUGUUUAUUUUCUUGAUCAAGAUAGGUGAAGAAAUACAGAAAAGAAAGAAAUAAUGAAAGCAAACCCCAACUUUCAGAUUUGGACACACCUUUGCUAAAAACUAUCAACAUUUUCCCCUUGAAAUUCUGAGUGGAAAGAUAUGUGCUUCCCUAAGUCAGGAGCUGUAUGUGCACUCCCCACCCCGAAACAUUUUUUGGGCAAAUGGAAUCAUUAAAGGAAUGAGAGGUAUCUACUCUUCAGUUCCCACUCAUUGACACAAACAGAAAACGCUACUGCAGCUUUCAGAGGUGACAGCUACUGUCUUCAAGGUGGAGAUAAGAGGUAAAUGGAGGGAGGUCAUACCUCAACUCCAGGAAUCUUGAAACUAAAAUGUUUUCUCAAAAAGCCAUGCACACAUUCAAAAAAAACCUUGGAUUUUCUAGAGCAGAUCUAUUAUCUUUUUUCUGGGUUUUUUUUUUUCAUUGUCUCCAUGAGUAAACUUAUAUUAGAAACCACACCUAAAAUUGGUUACCAGUUACACUUCUGGGGCCAGAAAGCAAAGGAAAUUAAUAAAAGGGAAACACCCUAGGGAGAAACUGAAUGAACUCUUAGAUGGCUAAAAUUUUGUGACUAAUCAGCAUCCUCUUUAAAUGUACCAUAUCCAAGUCUGACCUUUUUACUUAGUAGAAAAACAAUACAAAGAUUGCAGUUUCCAUUUUAAAUACAAUCUUUUUGUUCAAUUGUCAACCAGGAGUGGUUUUAAAUAAAACCACUUUCUGUAUUUUCCUCAGAGGUGUCUUAAUUUUCCCUAUCAAACUCACAAACCAAAGGUACUAAAGUCAGCAAGACCUAAUGUCUAAUUUACUUAUACCUAUGAUGAAAUCUAGUGCCAAGGAUCAUCCAUGGCCAUUGCCCCACUUCAAAUAUUCAUGAGCCUCCACAAUCCAAAAUGCAUUAAAUGUGGGCAGGUUGCCAAUAACACACAAUCUUCCUAAUGACAGGGAGCUUUCUCAGAUCAAAGGAGCAAGAUGUUAAAGACUUCAAACUAAACUGUCUUUGUAAGAGACACCCAGAAAAGAAAUGCCAGAUCCCACACCCUGUUUCAGUUAUGAAACAUCAAUGAAAUAGAGAAAAUAAUAAACAUUCAUUCAUUCCUCUUUGGAACUCAUUUUUUUGCAACAACUUUGCUUCUUUCCUUUCUUACCAUUGCACUCAAACACUAAGGAUGUUAUACACUAAAACUGGAAAAUAUUAUUAAUGCUUUCAAAGACAAAAUGACUACUAAGGAGUUAAUAGCAUUUAUGCCAAUAUGAUAUCGCUAAUGGAGCCUGAGUGGCAUGUAGAGAAUACUACAAAAGCAAAGUUAAAACAGGGAUAAAGAGCUAUGAAGAAUACAUAUAAAGCAAAUAUACCUAAUAAUUUAAGUUGUCCCUUUAUGUCAUUUGUCAUCUGGCUGCAUCUGCUCUUAAACCUGUGCACCUGUGCUCUGUUCCUGGAAAUAUUAGGCAUGCAGCCAAUUUCAUACCCAGCCAUUCCUAUGGUCAGACCCAGCUAUCAGUGCUUUUGUAUGUAUAUGUAUAUUAAAUCAAGUAUCAACCCCCGGGCUCUGAACUACUUCUGACUGACAGAACCAACAGAAAGUUCCAGGCUAAUUACUUCUAAGGAAUAGUUCCCAGAGAAAAGAGUUUCCACUGACCUACUUUGGACUUACUGAGAUAAUUUAUCAGCCUUGAUGUUCUCCAUGUAAGGAAAAUGCAAGAGAAAAACCUUGAAAUGAAAUCAUAGAACAUAAACUACGGUCUUAGAUUAGAUUACAAGCCAUCUGUUUUCUCAAAAUAAAAGCAUUAAAAUGUUAUGUCAUUAGUAUCAUAGUUUGUCAAUGCCAUCUAAUUAUUAUUUUUUCUCUUCUUCUUUUAUUCUCCUUCUCUUUCCCCUAUUUAUUAAUUUUUUUAUUCCCAUCUCCAGUGUGACUUUCUUCUGAACUCAAAAACUCAUCUAACUAUGAAAACAUGAUCAGCUAACUGUGUACUGACUUUUUUAUUCUAAUAAAGAUUUAUCUUCAUCUUGAAA
rnacentral:lncRNA from 1 species